UAGUUCCGGUUGGGUAGUACCCAAUCCCCGCCCCGCUGCUGCUUUGAAGGGUUUCGUAAAUUCUAGGGUUUCAGAGAGACGGAGAGAGACGGGGAGGACGCAUUGAGGUCCAGACACUCGCCGGAGGAAAGAUUACAGCUAAAAGCUGCAAUCGGAUUACAGUCUGCUAUCUGUUUACAAGCAAAUACACCCACCCAAACGCCCCAUGUAAUUGGAUUACCUGUAAUCGGAUUACCAUUUAAUGAUUUUACAGGCAUCCAAACGACCCCUAAUUGAAGAGGGAGAGAGAGAGUUGCUUCCCACUAAUCCAACCCACAGGCGUCCAAACGACCCCUUGGAGAGAGAGAGAGAGAUGGCGUCAUCGAAAGACGCCGACCCCUCGCUAGGGUUCCUGACCAGGAAGGACACGGAGGUGAAGCUCCCGCGCCCAACGCGUGUCAAGAACAAGACCCCAGCGCCUAUCCAGAUCACCGCAGAACAAAUUCUGCGUGAGGCCCGUGAGCGCCAGGAGUCGGAGAUCCGCCCCCCCAAGCAGAAGAUCACUGAUCCCACAGAGCUUGAUGACUACCGCCUCCGCAAGCGCAAGGAGUUUGAGGACCUCAUCCGCCGUGUCCGGUGGAAUACCUCCGUCUGGAUCAAGUAUGCCCAAUGGGAGGAGUCUCAGAAGGACUUUGCCCGUGCCCGCUCCAUCUGGGAGCGUGCCCUCGAAGUCGACUAUCGCAAUCACACCCUCUGGCUCAAGUACGCUGAGGUUGAGAUGAAGAACCGCUUCAUCAACCACGCCCGCAAUGUCUGGGACCGUGCCGUCACCCUCCUCCCCCGCGUCGACCAGCUCUGGUACAAGUACAUACACAUGGAGGAGAUCCUCGGCAAUGUUGCUGGCGCCCGGCAAGUCUUCGAGCGCUGGAUGGCGUGGAUGCCCGACCAGCAGGGGUGGCUCUCCUACAUAAAGUUCGAGCUCCGGUACAAUGAGGUUGAGCGUGCCCGCUCUGUGUUCGAGCGGUUUGUCCAGUGCCACCCUAAGGUUGUUGCCUGGGUCCGGUAUGCCAAGUUUGAAAUGAAGAACGGGGAGGUCGGCCGGGCAAGGGCCGUUUAUGAGCGUGCUGUUGAGCAGCUGGCAGACGACGAGGAGGCUGAGCAGCUCUUCGUUGCGUUUGCCGAGUUCGAGGAGCGGUGCAAGGAGACAGAGCGUGCCCGCUGCAUCUACAAGUAUGCACUCGAUCACAUACCAAAAGGGCGGGCAGAGGAUCUGUAUAGGAAGUUUGUCGCAUUCGAAAAGCAGUACGGGGACCGGGAAGGGAUUGAGGAUGCAAUCGUGGGGAAGAGAAGGUUCCAAUAUGAAGAAGAGGUGAGGAAGAAUCCUCUCAAUUAUGAUUCAUGGUUUGAUUAUAUACGCUUGGAAGAGAGUGUUGGGAACAAAGACAGGAUUAGAGAAGUUUAUGAGAGGGCCAUUGCGAAUGUCCCGCCUGCUGAGGAGAAGCGGUACUGGCAGCGAUACAUCUAUUUGUGGAUUAAUUAUGCCUUGCAUGAAGAGCUUGAUGCUGAUGACAUGGAGCGGACAAGAGAAGUUUACAGGGAAUGUCUUAAGUUGAUUCCACACAAGAAGUUUUCAUUUGCAAAGAUUUGGCUUUUGGCUGCACAAUUUGAAAUACGGCAAAAGAACCUUAAGGGUGCACGGAUGAUCUUGGGCAACGCAAUUGGGAUGGCUCCAAAAGAUAAGAUAUUCAAGAAAUACAUUGAGAUAGAGUUACAACUUGGGAACAUCGACCGUUGCAGAACUCUAUAUGAAAAGUAUCUAGCGUGGGCUCCAGCAAACUGCUAUGCUUGGAGCAAAUUUGCUGAACUGGAGAGAUCAUUGAGCGAGACCGAGCGCGCCAGAGCAAUAUUUGAGCUUGCUAUAGCCCAACCUGCAUUGGAUAUGCCAGAGGUGCUAUGGAAGGCAUACAUAGAUUUUGAGAUAUCAGAGGGUGAAUUUGAAAGAACCAGGCAACUUUAUGAGAGACUGCUAGACCGCACCAAGCACUUGAAGGUUUGGAUCAGUUAUGCGAAGUUUGAGGCUUCUGCAGAAGAGGAAGGCAGGGAUCCUGGGGUGCAAGAAGAUGUCGAUCAGGAUUCUCUUCAUGAACAGAAAAUUCAGCAGCUCCAACGUUCUCGAGGUGUUUUUGAGAGGGCUUUUGACUACUUCAGAACAGCUGCGCCAGAACUAAAAGAAGAAAGAGCUAUGCUUUUGGAGGAGUGGCUAAAUAUGGAGAGUAGUUUUGGCAGCAUCGGAGAUGUCAGUGUAGUUCAAAAGAAAUUACCGAGGAAAGUAAAACGGAAGAGGGCUAUUGCAUCUGAGGAUGGCGCCCCUUCUGGGUACGAGGAAUAUUACGACUACAUAUUUCCUGAUGAAGCAGCAGGGGCUCCGACUCUUAAAAUUUUGGAAGCAGCUUACAAGUGGAAGAAGCAUAAAGCUGGUUCAGAUGAGGAUUGAUUGAAAAAUUCCCAUUGUUUCUGCCAAUGCACAUGGUACAUCAUUCCUCCUGAACCCAGAUGGAUAGAUGCAGAAGUAAUAUGUGGAUCUAUGGAUUUUGCACCUACCCUCUUUAUGAGUUUGAAAGAGAACCUGGGCAAACAAAGAAGGCAACCUAUGUUUAAGAUGAGCUGAAAACAGAGAACGUUUGGAUGAAUUCUGGCUGUCAUGAACAAUGAAAACAUCAUAGAUCAGGACUGGAAUCUAAGAAAAUGAUACGAGAACAGCAGCGGAACAACUUGGAUGGAGGAGGAGGGAAAGAGACAGCGCUAGACACCAGGAUCGCAAUGCUCCCAGCCUGGCACAGCAGAAGUUUCUCUUUAGCUGAAGACAUGCGGAACAGCAUUCAAAAGCAGAGAUCCACAACAAGAAAGGGACAUCCCUUUUCUUUCUCAUCAUCCAUACUUGUACAUUAUGUUUUAACUAGAUAUGGAACUUUCAUAUCUGAGUUUUCCUUGUGAUGGCCUUGUUUUUGUUUAUACCUUCUUACUGGGAAUUGCUUAGAAAUUGAACACGUGGAAUAUGAGCAAAUCCAAAUUAAACUGUCCAAAUUAUGGUUUCAGUUUAAAUGUAUCAUGGAUUAAAACAUUAAGACGAUUUAAUGA